UUGCUUCCAUAGCAGAGAUAGAGAUUAGCAUGGACCCUAUGCAAACAUGACACACAAAUCUGUGAAAUGUUCCAAAUUUUU
rnacentral:snRNA from 1 species